rnacentral:rRNA from 1 species
AUACGGAGGGUGCAAGCGUUGUUCGGAAUUAUUGGGCGUAAAGAGCAUGUAGGCGGACUGUUAAGUCUGGUGUGAAAGCCCGGGGCUCAACCCCGGAAGUGCAUUGGAUACUGGCAGUCUUGAGUAUGGGACAGGAAAGUGGAAUUCCGAGUGUAGGAGUGAAAUCCGUAGAUAUUCGGAGGAACACCAGUGGCGAAGGCGGCUUUCUGGACCAAUACUGACGCUGAGAUGCGAAAGCGUGGGGAGCGAACAGGAUUAGAAACCCCAGUAGUCC